UACGUAGGGUGCGAGCGUUAAUCGGAAUUACUGGGCGUAAAGCGUGCGCAGGCGGUGAUGUAAGACAGAUGUGAAAUCCCCGGGCUCAACCUGGGAACUGCAUUUGUGACUGCAUCGCUGGAGUGCGGCAGAGGGGGAUGGAAUUCCGCGUGUAGCAGUGAAAUGCGUAGAUAUCUGGAGGAACACCGGUGGCGAAGGCGGCUCACUGGACCAUUACUGACGCUGAGGCACGAAAGCUAGGGGAGCAAACAGG
rnacentral:rRNA from 1 species